rnacentral:RNase_P_RNA from 1 species
CGAGUCGGUCGGAUGAUCGCGGCACGUAAGUGUCGAGGAAAGUCCGGACUUCAUAGAGCAGGGUGGUGGGUAACACCCACCCGGAGUGAUCCGCGGGAAAGUGCCACAGAGAACAGACCGCCAAGGGAAACCUUGGUAAGGGUGAAACGGUGGUGUAAGAGACCACCAGUGGUGCAGGUGACUGCAUCAGCUUGGUAAACCCCACCCGAAGCAAGGUCAAAAGGGUCGGCUUGCCGGCCCAAGCAGACGGGCUGCUCGCCUCAUGUUUGCUGGUAGACCGCACGAGGCUGCUGGUAACAGCAGUCCCAGAUGGAUGAUCAUCAUCUGUUAACUCAGAUACAGGAUCCGGCUUACAGACCGGCUCGUUCC